GUGAUGUAACUCACUAUGGGCCAGCCGCUUAAGGUGGGAUAGACGUUUGUGGUGAAGUCGUAACAAGGUAGCCGUAGCGGAAGGUGCGGCUGGAUCACCGCCUUU
rnacentral:rRNA from 1 species